rnacentral:misc_RNA from 1 species
AGAACAUACAUAAAAUAUGAGUUCAAUUUAAUUUUGUUUUAAUAAGAUCCCUUAUCUCCACGAUAAGUGAAUCUUACAUAAAAAUAUCCCCCCGCCAAAGACACUUUUCAACGUCCUCGAACAAAUUCAAAGUGUUACUGCAAGUCAAUCUAUAAACUACUGUUAAUAAAUUAACUCAGAGCGAUUGUCAGUAACAAAACAUUUUAAUUGACCGACUAACGUGCCUGAUUUACUUACGAGUGUUUGGUGUUUUGUGCAAGUGCUUUCCAUGAUGCCUUCUUCUUAUUAUUCACCGAGUCCCGGUGAAAUAUCGAUAUCUGACGGCGAGAUUGAGGGGAACGAUUGCCUUUUGAGCAGUACCAUUCGAUUAGACGAUAAGUUUCUAAGUUACAGCAUAAUAUUGGACUCAGACAUGACGAUGGCGGCGUGCAAUAAUUCGCUAACAGCUACGUUAAGUAACGUUAGCGGAGGCGUCAACGCCAUCAGCCAACAGUGUGCCAUUUGCGGAGACAGAGCCACCGGAAAACAUUACGGCGCCGCCUCGUGUGACGGUUGCAAAGGAUUCUUCAGGCGCUCCGUCAGAAAAAAUCAUUUAUAUACGUGUCGAUUUAAUAGAAAUUGUGUAGUAGAUAAGGACAAAAGGAAUCAAUGUAGAUAUUGUAGACUAAGAAAAUGUUUUAAGGCUGGUAUGAAAAAAGAAGCUGUACAGAAUGAAAGGGACCGAAUAAGUUGUCGAAGGCCUAGUUACGAAGAAAACACUCAAAACAACGGGUUAUCAGUGGGAUCAUUAUUAAAUGCAGAAAUGUUAUCUAGGCAAGUAGGAGCAGCAUUAGAGCAAAUGGGUCCAAAUCCAGUAAACGAAUACGACAUAUCAGGUAGACAACUGGCCAGUAUAAACGACGUGUGUGAAUCAAUGAAACAGCAACUUUUAAUAUUAGUGGAAUGGGCUAAGUACAUCCCUGCCUUCACGGAGUUACAGUUGGACGAUCAGGUGGCCCUUCUUCGAGCACAUGCAGGUGAACACCUUCUAUUAGGAUUAGCCAGGAGGUCUAUGCACCUAAAAGACGUGCUUCUACUAGGAAAUAAUUGUAUAAUAACAAAAGAAUGUCCAGCUAUGAUACCAGAUCCUCGUAACGUAUCUCCAGAUAUGAGCAUCUCCAGAGUCGGGACCAGGAUCAUCGACGAGCUCGUCAAGCCCAUGAACGACGUCCAGAUCGACGACACCGAGUUCGCUUGCCUGAAAGCCAUAGUCUUCUUUGAUCCAAAUGCUAAAGGAUUGAGCGAACCAGCCAGAAUCAAAACUCUUCGGUAUCAAAUCCAAAUCAAUCUUGAAGAUUACAUCAGCGAUCGUCAAUACGACAGCAGAGGCCGCUUUGGAGAACUGUUGCUGACUCUUCCACCUCUACAAUCGAUAACGUGGCAGAUGAUCGAACAAAUCCAGUUUGCAAAACUUUUUGGAGUGGCACACAUCGAUAGUUUGUUACAGGAAAUGCUUCUUGGAGAUUAUAGAUCAUUUCAAAUCAGCUCUGUACAAUAUGGAUAUAAAGUUUAAGAAUAGAAUAGUUUAUCAUAGAUUGAAUAGAAGACUUUGAAUAGACUUGAAGAUCUUCAAAGAUGCUAAGCGCAAGCAUCGACGCCACUCCACCAGCACUGGUGGUCCCGAACAACAAUCACAUCAACAACAACAACAAUAGCUAUCAGAGCACCAGUGACUCAGCUGACAGUCCCAUCACUUCGCCUCUAGCCACACCCAACAGCCC